rnacentral:rRNA from 1 species
GUCAAGUAAUUAAGUGCAUGUGGUGGAUGCCUUGGCAGUCAGAGGCGAUGAAAGACGUGAUAGCCUGCGAAAAGCUCCGGGGAGGCGGCAAAUAUCCUUUGAUCCGGAGAUGUCUGAAUGGGGGAACCCACCUACUUUAAGGUAGGUAUUGCAACAUGAAUACAUAGUGUUGCAAGGCGAACGAGGGGAAGUGAAACAUCUCAGUACCCUUAGGAAAAGAAAUCAAUUGAGAUUCCCUCAGUAGCGGCGAGCGAACGGGGAUCAGCCCAUUAAGUUAUGUGUGUUUUAGUGGAACGCUCUGGGAAGUGCGAACGUAGAGGGUGAUAUUCCCGUACACGAAAGGGCACACAUAAUGAUGACGAGUAGGGCGAGGCACGUGAAACCUUGUCUGAAUAUGGGGGGACCAUCCUCCAAGGCUAAAUACUCCUGACUGACCGAUAGUGAACCAGUACCGUGAGGGAAAGGCGAAAAGAACCCCUGUGAGGGGAGUGAAAUAGAUCCUGAAACCGCAUGCAUACAAGCAGUGGGAGCACCUUCGUGGUGUGACUGCGUACCUUUUGUAUAAUGGGUCAGCGACUUAUAUUCAGUAGCGAGGUUAACCGUAUAGGGGAGCCGUAGAGAAAUCGAGUCUUAAUAGGGCGUUUAGUUGCUGGGUAUAGACCCGAAACCAGGCGAUCUAUCCAUGAGCAGGUUGAAGGU